rnacentral:rRNA from 1 species
GAGGCGGGCGUGAGCGCGGCGAAGGUUAGCCCGGUCUUGGGAUCGGCGGUAGGGGCGAGCGGGCUAAGGGGCGUGAGGGGGCUCGGGUCUGGGCGGCGGCCGCUGGGGGAGGAGAGGGUAGCUGAGGUCGGGGCGGCGGUCGCUGGGGGAAGAGAGGGAGCUGAGGUCGGGCGGCGGCGCCUCUGCGCGUGGCUGGCGCCGGUAGCAGGAGACGGUGGCGGCGGAGGAGGAAGGGGUGGGAGGAGAGUGGAGGAGAAGCUCCGCACGGCGCCAGGAAGAGGCGCGGCCGCUGCGCACGUCGUCUCUUGCCGCCCGCACCGCCUCGCCCUGGUACGACGGCGCCGCCGGCCGAGCAGGGGCUGAAGACGAAGCGGUCUCUUCUUCCGGCUAAGUACUCUCCUCUCCUCCUCUCUACGCCGUCCCGCCGCCAGCAACAGCCGCUGCCCCUCCGCACGACUUGGACGGCCGAGCUGGGUCCUCGCCGUCCACGUCUCCGCGCACGCGAUGUGGGGGUGGGGCACGACGAGAGGCGGCGGGUCAGUAACACGGGCGACGAGUUUGAGGCGGUGGGGUAGCCGGCGAGGCUGCGGUGAGUACCAUAGGCCCUUCGUGCGCCGGUAACGAGCUAAGAGCGGAUUGAUCCAGCGGCGAAGAGGAACCACAAGGUGUCCUCUCCUCGUAGGCGGAGGUGUUGACCUCUCUGCGUAGAAGAGGGGAGGAGCUGUCGUUGUGUCCCUGCCUUGGUAGUCGACUCUACCUCCUACGGCGGGAAAUGCCGCGCGAGCGCCACCGGACCAAUGGUAGAGAACCUCUCUCCGUCCGGAUGGGGAAGAGGGGGUGUCCAAACGAGAGCCAAGAUAACCGUUCCCUAGAAACCCGUUAUCAACUCGUGGUUUCCUGUUAGAUUUAAUGAUAGUACUAUAAAGUCUACACUCCAGAGUACAGAAGGCCGAAUGUCAUCUACUAUGUUUCCAGUAACAAACGUCGUCUCGCCGAGGCACCGAUCGCGGCUCCACGACGUUGGUCCUCGCCUUCGUCACCAGCCGGUAGUGCAGACUGUGGGGUGACCUCUGGCAACCUGUAGUACGUUCGGUACCACUGACGUUCAACGAUUAAAACCCGAGGCACCCUAAACUACUCCAACGACGAGGAGAAUUUCUAGCUGAACACUACAACUCUUCUAAUGGUACAACUUCCUACCUGUUAAUCUCUCCUCAUAAGAGUGGUUUACGCAUACCUUCUUUCUUUUGUUCACUUCUUACGAAUACAGUCCAACUCAACUCGUUCCGUACUACCAGUAUCAAAAACGUUCCGCAUAGAAGUUACAAGUGUACAACAAUAGGAUCCGAAUACAGCACAUCGUUUUCUACCACCUAAACCUGGAAAUUUUGAUUUGAUACAUUGUUGUGUUACGAGCCUAAACUUCUAUAGUACAACGCGUAAUAUAUGGUGAGACGAGACGAAAACUAUAGAACCUAGAUACACAAAAACAACUUGAACUACGUUAAUUCGAAAGAAAUCCGUUGAUGACACAAUGAAAACCAUGUUUAACUUAGAGGUACGAAACAUAACUUGAAUCCGUAUGUAAAUAGAAUACGUUGUUGUCAAGGAACGAAAACGAUAUUGAAAAGAGACCGAUGUAUACAACAUGUGAAGAACGUUAAGAGGAUACUAAUAUAAUAUUCUAACCUAUACUGUCAUGGGCCGUCGCCACGACGACCCACGCCGUUCGGCGUGAAGGAUGGAUCAAAUUUAUUCUAUCUCGGAUGGACGAACACCGUCCUAAGCUCGUUGAGACCAAUCGUUCCUACGCGGUGACGUUGGGAUGGUGAUCUGGUAAAGGGUUAAGUGUAUAUACAGUUUAUUUGGACCUGUUCACGAUGACUUAUUAUG